AUCACUGGUGUUCGGGUUGUCAUGCCAAUGGCACUGCCCGGUAGCUAAAUGCGGAAGAGAUAAGUGCUGAAAGCAUCUAAGCACGAAACUUGCCCCGAGAUGAGUUCUCCCUGAGACUAUAAGUCUCCUGAAGGAACGUUAAAGACGAUGACGUUGAUAGGCCGGGUGUGUAAGCGCAGCGAUGCGUUGAGCUAACCGGUACUAAUGAACCGUGAGGCUUAACCUUAC
rnacentral:rRNA from 1 species